rnacentral:lncRNA from 1 species
GAGCUAAUCAGGGUGCAAACUCAUAGUUGUGCUUUAGGAGAUUACCGAAUGCUUCCUUUAAGCUAUAGCUUCAAUCGUUUAAUUGUUGGAAAUAAUUCACUGGCAGAACACCAGCCCUGACUCUCCGUCUAUUUAUGCCUCUUACCCACAGGCUAGUUUUCAGGCUGAAUGGCUGAACACAAUAUUACAAACUCUUACACCAUAAGAAUGAAAGUAAAAUGUCUGCACUGACUGUGGACAUUUCCUCUAACAACUAAUAACUCCUUCUCUCCUAUAUCUGUAAUUUUACAACAGCCUGACUUCUGAGAGAAGGAAACCGAGCAGAUCCGUGAAGAUAGUUGGGUAAAUACUUCUCCAAGUCUGAAUGUGGCAUGUUUUUAGUUAGCUAGCAUUGCUUUCUGGCCACAAGGAGAAGCAAGCAAAAGUGCUAGCACAACCACCAGGAGAAAACAGGAAGCCAACUUACUCGUCCUUUCCGCCAGCAUUCCACUAUCUCCUUGUCUGUGUUCUUGCUCUCCAGGAGAGCUAGCUGCUGAGCGCAGGCUGUCAGGAGGGCACCGAACUGUUCCAGGGCCUGCUCCAGCUGAGCCACCUGGCCGGAGAACUCCUGCUCCGAAAGGGCCAUCUGGCUCGCCAGGUCCUCCAAGCUGGUCCGCGUCUGGAGGACGCUGUCUUCCCACUGCUUCCAGUCGGCACGCAGGGCCUGCAUCUCGGCGUCCACGAGCUCACACCCACUGGCACUUGUGUUCUGUCUCACUGCGGGAGCCAGCGACUCCACUCUGCUUAGGCGGCUUGCCCCAGUCCCUCUGGAAUCCAUCAGCUCCUGUAAUGGAACAUCGCCGUGGCAACCGAGGAGGCUGUGAGUCACUCGGGCCGCGAGUUUACAAGCGUGUACAGAGCGGGGACC